AAAUGUCAUGGAGAGUUGGACAUAACUGAAAUGACUGCACAGCAAGAAGGAAACAGAGAUUAAGUGGGUGUUUAUUUGGGCUGGAUUCAUGCCUACAAAAACAUGAUGCUGAGAUGGGGUCAGAGACUUCACUAGACUCACUGUGCAAGGGGGCCAGGACACAGAAAAGCUUCUGCUCUAAUUGCCCAAUCAGCCAAGGCCAAAAAGGUCUAAAACUCCAACUUAAGUCAGAUCAGGGAUCCCAGAAACCUAGUUUGAAGAUUUAAAGCGGCAGUUCAGGUGCCCCUGGAGAUGACAGUUGCUUGGUUGUGGGAUAGCUCAGCUGUGGCAAUGUGAGUGCAUGCUGAUAUUCCCAACUGAUUCCUCUCUGGCUUUUGCAGUGGGGAUGUGCUCCAUCCCAGUGAUGAUGGCAUCCAUGGGAGUUUGGGGGUUCUGUUUCCAUGGCAACAAUCCAUAGGAGGUUUUCCCUGCUGAUCCAGAAAGACAGCUUUCUGCAGGGCUGUUCUUUGCCUCGGGUUCCCGUGUGGGUAUGUUACUUCCUCCUUGAAUCAUCUUUGUUUCACUAAUAAUGAUAAUUGGCAAUAAAAGCAGAAUGAUAAUCUCCUCUGCUCAGAGUCAAUCUUCUGUGAGUUCCCAAAUAACCAGCUGAUAUUGCUACUCCGUGCCGAAAGAGCAAUGGUAUCAAAUGUUGUUUGGUAUUAAAUGGUAUCAAAUGUUGGAAGGAUUUAGAAUCCAGAAUGUAUACAGUGUCAGAAAUAUAGACUAUCAGAACUAGAAAGCUUAGAAUACAGAACAUAGAAUACCAGAACCUCAUAGAGCCCAUGACACUUCAGGAUAUAUAAUGUUAGAACUGUAAGGGAAAGUGUUAGAAUGUCAGAGUUAAAAGAGAUCUAAGAACUUAAAACGGAGAAUGUCAGUUGUGGAUGGAACUUUAUAAUAUAGAUGGUUGGAUCCAAAAGGGACCUUGAAAAUCUAGCUCAAUAUCUACCUGUUCCUUUGUUUUGGGGAAACCGAGACCAAAGAAGGUCUAAGGAGACACAAAGAGCUAGUGGAAGAUGGAGUGUUCAGUGGAAUUUUUCCCAUUACAUCCCACUUCCACCACUGGAGAAACCCUCUGUCAUGGAUCUUGGCAGUUUAGUGCAGUGUAAGAAAUGAAGUCUUUGGAAUCAAGGGCAUGGGUUCAAAUCCUGGUUUGGCUAUUGACUAUCUGUGUGAUAUUGGUUGACCUCUCUGAGAUGAAUUUACCUCAUCUUUAAAGUGAGGGGACUGGAUCUGAUGGGUCCUAAGUUCCUUUUCAGUUCUGUCUAUAUGAUCUUAUGAUUCAAGUCUUUGACGUAUAUCAAUGGAUCUCAUUUCACUAAUGUGGGUACCUAUUCCAGAUUAGACCCAAUGUUUGUCUGUCUUUCCUAAGGGACUCUCAUCCACUUCUUUCCACCCAUUUCUAUAAGAAAUCCAGUUGAAAUGCUAGGGAUCUUCCUUUAGUUUCUUGACAUUAAAUGGAUAGUAGAGGAGCAUGGAUUAACCAUUGAUUGUCCAAUGAAUUUUCUAUGCAAUUGACCCAUUUUUUUUCUUU